GAUGAACGCUGGCGGCGUGCCUAACACAUGCAAGUCGAGCGAUCUUCUUCGGAAGAGAGCGGCGGACGGGUGAGUAACGCGUGGGUAACCUGCCCUGUACACACGGAUAACAUACCGAAAGGUAUGCUAAUACGGGAUAACAUACUUUUAUCGCAUGGUAGAAGUAUCAAAGCUCCGGCGGUACAGGAUGGACCCGCGUCUGAUUAGCUAGUUGGUAAGGUAACGGCUUACCAAGGCGGCGAUCAGUAGCCGACCUGAGAGGGUGAUCGGCCACAUUGGAACUGAGACACGGUCCAAACUCCUACGGGAGGCAGCAGUGGGGAAUAUUGCACAAUGGGCGAAAGCCUGAUGCAGCAACGCCGCGUGAGCGAUGAAGGCCUUCGGGUCGUAAAGCUCUGUCCUCAAGGAAGAUAAUGACGGUACUUGAGGAGGAAGCCCCGGCUAACUACGUGCCAGCAGCCGCGGUAACAC
rnacentral:rRNA from 1 species